CGGGAUAGCUCAGCCGGAGAGCAGAGGACUGAAAAUCCUCGGGUCCCCAGUUCAAAUAA
rnacentral:tRNA from 1 species